CUGCGAAUGGCUCAUUAUAUAAGUUAUCGUUUAUUUGAUAGUACCUUACUACUUGGAUAACCGUGGUAAUUCUAGAGCUAAUACAUGCUAAAAAUCCCGACUUCGGAAGGGAUGUAUUUAUUAGAUUAAAAACCAAUGCCCUCUGGGCUCCUUGGUGAUUCAUGAUAACUCUUCGAAUCGCACGGCCUUGCGCCGGCGAUGGUUCAUUCAAAUUUCUUCCCUAUCAACUUUCGAUGUUUGGGUAUUGGCCAAACAUGGUUGCAACGGGUAACGGAGGGUUAGGGCUCGACCCCGGAGAAGGAGCCUGAGAAACGGCUACUACAUCCAAGGAAGGCAGCAGGCGCGCAAAUUACCCAAUCCCGAUUCGGGGAGGUAGUGACAAUAAAUACUGAUACAGGGCUCUUUUGGGUCUUGUAAUUGGAAUGAGUACAAUUUAAAUCUCUUAACGAGGAACAAUUGGAGGGCAAGUCUGGUGCCAGCAGCCGCGGUAAUUCCAGCUCCAAUAGCGUAUAUUAAAGUUGUUGUGGUUAAAAAGCUCGUAGUUGAACCUUGGGCCUGGCUGGCCGGUCCGCCUCACCGCGUGCACUGGUCCGGCCGGGCCUUUCCCUCUGUGGAACCCCAUGCCCUUCACUGGGCGUGGCGGGGAAACAGGACGUUUACUUUGAAAAAAUUAGAGUGCUCCAGGCAGGCCUAUGCUCGAAUACAUUAGCAUGGAAUAAUGAAAUAGGACGCGUGGUUCUAUUUUGUUGGUUUCUAGGACCGCCGUAAUGAUUAAUAGGGACAGUCGGGGGCAUCAGUAUUCAAUUGUCAGAGGUGAAAUUCUUGGAUUUAUUGAAGACUAACUACUGCGAAAGCAUUUGCCAAGGAUGUUUUCAUUAAUCAGGAACGAAAGUUAGGGGAUCGAAGACGAUCAGAUACCGUCGUAGUCUUAACCAUAAACUAUGCCGACUAGGGAUCGGACGAUGUUAUUUUUUGACGCGUUCGGCACCUUACGAGAAAUCAAAGUGCUUGG
rnacentral:rRNA from 1 species